UACGUAGGGGGCAAGCGUUGUCCGGAUUCAUUGGGCGUAAAGAGCGUGUAGGCGGCCAGGUAGGUCGGUUGUGAAAACUGGAGGCUCAACCUUCAGAGGUCGACCGAAACCAUCUGGCUAGAGUCCGGGAGAGGAGAGUGGAAUUCCUGGUGUAGCGGUGAAAUGCGCAGAUAUCAGGAAGAACACCCGUGGCGAAGGCGGCUUUCUGGGACGGUACUGACGCUGAGACGCGAAAGCGUGGGGAGCGAACAGG
rnacentral:rRNA from 1 species